rnacentral:lncRNA from 1 species
UCACAACCAUCUGUAAUGGGAUCUGAUGCCGUCUUCUUGUAUGUCUGAAGACAGCUACAGUGUACUCACAUAUAUGAAAUAAAUUUAAAAAAAAAUCAGAAGCAAUAAACUUAAGAAAAUUUUGGUUACAUAAAAAUUGAAAUUAUUAAAUUGUGAAAACAUCAUAAAGUAUAAACUAGUGGUCUAUUGUGAUCUCUGUGAGUUGAAGGCAAUCCAGAAUUACAUAGUAAAACCCUGCCAAAAAAACAAGAAAAACAAAAACAAAAAUCACAAAGUAGCUAUGGGAUAGUGUUGUCAGACUAAACAAAUAAAUAGCUACCAAUACAAAAAAGUUUUUAGGCUUUGAUUAAAUGAAAACUAAGCAAAAUUACUACAUAAAUAGUUAAUGUCAUCCCCACACAAAAGUAUUCAUUAACCAUAUGAGAAGUUGCCUCAUUAAUAAAAAAAUAAAUGAUGAUUUAACCUGAGAGAGUCGGUUAGGGAAAGAACACAUUUAGCUAUACCCACUCUUGAGAGAUUAAGGAAAGAAGAGCUAGUGAAUUUUGGGAGACAGUUUGGCAUUGUCAGUUAAAACUUUGCAUAUUCCUUACUCUGUUCUCAUAAAAGUGGAAGAUAACACACAGGAUGUUUAUUUUCACUUUAUUCAUAAUGUAUGAAUUGGAAACAAAAUUGUCCACCAAUGAGAACAUUUCAUUGUUAUUAUAUAGUCCUCAAAACAAACAAGGUAGCAUUUCAUGAGUUAAUAUGGGGAAGAAGAACAGCCC